rnacentral:rRNA from 1 species
AGAGUUUGAUCCUGGCUCAGAACGAACGCUGGCGGCAGGCCUAACACAUGCAAGUCGAACGUGAAGCUGGAGCUUGCUCCAGUGGAAAGUGGCAGACGGGCGAGUAACGCGUGGGAAUUUACCCAGUGGUUCGGAAUAACUUCGGGAAACCGGAGCUAAUACCGAAUACGCCCUCCGGGGGAAAGAUUUAUCGCCAUUGGAUGAGCCCGCGUCGGAUUAGCUUGUUGGUGGGGUAAAAGCCUACCAAGGCGACGAUCCGUAGCUGGUCUGAGAGGAUGAUCAGCCACACUGGGACUGAGACACGGCCCAGACUCCUACGGGAGGCAGCAGUGGGGAAUAUUGCACAAUGGGCGCAAGCCUGAUGCAGCCAUGCCGCGUGAGUGAAGAAGGCCUUAGGGUUGUAAAACUCUUUCACCGGUGAAGAUAAUGACGGUAGCCGGAGAAGAAGCCCCGGCCAACUCCGUGCCAGCAGCCGCGGUAAUACGGAGGGGGCUAGCGUUGUUCGGAAUAACUGGGCGUAAAGCGCGCGUAGGCGGGCUGGUCAGUUGGGGGUGAAAUCCCGGGGCUUAACCUCGGAACUGCCCUCAAUACUACCAGUCUAGAGAUCGAGAGAGGUAAGUGGAAUUCCUAGUGUAGAGGU